rnacentral:lncRNA from 1 species
CGGAAGCCGAGCGCCGACUGCUUCUACAGCCUAUUCUUGCCGACCAUGGUCUACCGCAACACCGCCGUGGAGCUUCUGUUCAAUUUCCUCACCACUUCCGACGAGGCCGAAGUCGAGGCUCGCCUCCGCGAGGCUCGCCUCUUCGAGGAAGACGCCUUCGCCACCUCCAGAACGAUUAUCAGAGCGAUCUACUCCGACGAGAUCAGCUAUCGCGUGCUGGAGGUCCUCCAGGCUAAGAACACCGGCGCUUCUGCUGCUGAAAAGGGCCCCCUGUUGUUGCCGGACGUUGGCAUACGCAAGCCCUUCGUGGGCAUUGUUAUCGAUAACCUCAGCAGUCCCUUCUCUCCCUGGAGGCACUUCGGCACCCUCUCCACCGACGAGGCCAAAGCCCUGGCUCCCUUCAUCGAGCGAGAGGCCUUCUUCGCCGCCAGGGAGAAGGUCCGUAAGAUCUACAUCCAAGAGGUCUGCGAGCGCAUGGUGGAGAUCAAACACAAGAACGCCGCUGCUUCUGCUGCUGGAAACGUCGCGUCGGAGACCGCCGCCGGUGG